rnacentral:rRNA from 1 species
AUGGCGCGAGCCUUCCUUGCCUCCGCCGCUGCAGCGGGCUUCGGGGCGCAGGCGCAGCAGACUCCGUGGCUCCUUCUACUGCUGGUGGUGCUGGUCAUAUCGGUCUUCCUCUGCGGCGACACCUCGAAGAAGAAGAAAUCCAGGGCGCCGCUGACGGCGACGACUACUGCAAGUUCGUCGACCACAUCAGCCGGCGGUAAUACCGUCCUCUUUCUUGCUGCGGGCGGAGGCGGUGGUGCUUGCUGCGGCGGAGGGGGCGGUGGUGCUUGCUGCGGCGGAGGGGGCGGUGGUGGUGGUGGCGGUUGCGGUGGAGGUUGCGGUGGCUAG